rnacentral:rRNA from 1 species
CCCUUAGAUGUUCUGGGCCGCACGCGCGCUACACUGACUACUUCAACGAGUUGUUUCCUUGAUCGAAAGGUCUGGGUAAUCUUUGAAAGGUAGUCGUGAUGGGGAUAGAUCCUUGCAAUUUUUGAUCUUCAACGAGGAAUUCCUAGUAAACGCAAGUCAUCAGCUUGCAUUGAUCACGUCCCUGCCCUUUGUACACACCGCCCGUCGCACCUACCGAUUGAAUGGUCCGGUGAAUCUUUAGGACUGUGGCUGAGGCCUUGCCUUGUGCGGGUCUGGCCGUGGGAAUUUAGUUAAACCUUACCAUUUAGAGGAAGGUGAAGUCGUAACA